rnacentral:rRNA from 1 species
GAUGAACGCUGGCGGCGUGCCUAAUACAUGCAAGUCGAGCGAACAGACGAGGAGCUUGCUCCUCUGACGUUAGCGGCGGACGGGUGAGUAACACGUGGAUAACCUACCUAUAAGACUGGGAUAACUUCGGGAAACCGGAGCUAAUACCGGAUAAUAUAUUGAACCGCAUGGUUCAAUAGUGAAAGACGGUUUUGCUGUCACUUAUAGUUGGAUCCGCGCCGCAUUAGCUAGUUGGUAAGGUAACGGCUUACCAAGGCAACGAUGCGUAGCCGACCUGAGAGGGUGAUCGGCCACACUGGAACUGAGACACGGUCCAGACUCCUACGGGAGGCAGCAGUAGGGAAUCUUCCGCAAUGGGCGAAAGCUUGACGGAGCAACGCCGCGUGAGUGAUGAAGGUCUUCGGAUCGUAAAACUCUGUUAUUAGGGAAGAACAAAUGUGUAAGUAACUAUGCACGUCUUGACGGUACCUAAUCAGAAAGCCACGGCUAACUACGUG